rnacentral:rRNA from 1 species
GACGAACGCUGGCGGCGUGCCUAAUACAUGCAAGUCGAACGCAGUUGGGAACGCGUGAGUAUCGCGUAGGUUACCCCCUCAUACAGGGGGAUAACUAUUUGAAAAGAUAGCUCAUACCGCAUAAUGUGAGCUGUACCUGCGUUGUAUUAGCUAGUUGGAGAGGUAAAGGCACACGAAGGCGACGAUACAUAGCCGACCUGAGAGGGUGAUCGGCUACACUGGGACUGAGACACGGCCCAGACUCCGUCGGGAGGCAGCAGUAGGGAAUCUUCCGCAAUGGACGGAAGUCUGACCGAGCAACGCCGCGUGAGUGAAGAAGGUUUUCGGGUUGUAAAGCUCUGUUGUUAGAGAAGCGGUAACGAACCAGAAAGCUACGGCUAACUACGUGCCAGCAGCCGCGGUAAUAC